GACAGAGGGGGCAAGCGUUGCUCGGAAUUACUGGGCGUAAAGGGCGCGUAGGCGGGAUGGCAAGUCGGUCGUGAAAUCCCUCGGCUCAACCGAGGAACGUCGAUCGAUACUGCUGUUCUUGAGGAUUGCAGAGGAGACUGGAAUUCCCGGUGUAGCGGUGAAAUGUGUAGAGAUCGGGAGGAACACCCGUGGCGAAGGCGGCCAUCUGGACCAGCACUGACGCUGAGGCACGAAAGCGUGGGGAGCAAACAGG
rnacentral:rRNA from 1 species